rnacentral:lncRNA from 1 species
GCGCGACUUCCCUGGCCCUCCCCCUGCGGACCAGUGAACCUCGCCCGAGGGCUCAAUAAAGAAGAUUUUUGCCCUCUUUUUCUCACCUCUCAGCCUUAUUGAUCCAUGGUGCCCUUCCAUUGCCUUUCAUUGGUGCCGAAACCCGGGAGGGGACACCUCCUAAGCCCCCCCAGAGGCUCAGGGGGACUCCCCUCCUGGUCGGAUCAGUCCUCUCCCUCAGUCAGGUCAGGCUUCUCCUCCACGGCCAUCUGUCCAUUUCGUCCGGUUACUUGCUGCCAGGUCGCAGUUGCUGCAGCUACUCCAGUCCAAUUCGGCCGACGCUAGAUCAACUGAGAUGCAAAACCCAUGUUCACAUCAUGAGUGAGUCUUCUAACUCGGACAAUGCAAUCAACAAAUUCUAAGACCAAAUUCCGGUGGCACUGGCUCCAAAGGCAUCAUGCCAGCAGGGACCAGAUGUGCACCUAAUCAAGAGAUGGCAUCCAAUCAGAUGGGGGUGUGACCCUUUACUAUCGUCCUCACCACAGGACUCAUGGUCUAUCAAAGAGCAAGACCUCACCAGCUCAACACAGCCACCUCCAUACACAUCUUACUGUCACUUGUGAUCAGCACCAAAGGAAGUGUCCACCUGAAGGACUCUCCCUUGAGGACUGUCAGGAUCCACCCAAGAGGUGCUCUUUGUCCACACCACGUUCCUUUUACUGCUCCUGAGUGUGGAAGGAGGUGAACAGGGAAAAGCAGAGAGGACAAAAGUCACAUCCCCUCCCCACAGACCCAUACUGGGGAAGGGUGGAAGAUUUAGCUGCGAGUCAAGUUCAGAAUUUUGAUUAACAUCUUGGCAUGCACAUUCGAAUUUCAGAAUCAAGACUGUUGGCCAUAAAAAAUGACUAUAGCCUUGUGUAUUACCUGAACUGAGCAGUAAAAAAAAAGUCAUGGUCCUUCUGGGGCUUUUAUUCUGAGACAGGAACCCUGAACAGGCAGGAGAAAGGGAAUGUUGACAGAGAAACAAAGACAGUUGGCGACACACGCUGACCGCCAUGCGGACGUCCAUCAAACCCAGCACUGGCCCUGGGUACGUGCGCCUUUGCUAUUACCCCAAUACAUUUUCUUCUGCAGAGCAAGCAACAGAACACAUGCAGACCUUAAUAAAUACCACUGGGUAAUGUGACAAUGGCCAAACUCUCCUCACGGGGGAGAGAGUGUCCCCCAGUUUUGCUCCCUUUUAAUUUCCAGGGUUCAUAAGUAGCUCUAAAGCUUUGCUCUACAAGGUUGAUACAUACGAUAUUAAUGUUUCCCCUAAGCAGUAUAACAUAAAUAUAUUUGCUAUCUUGA